GUUCACUGUUUGUCAGGCAUCAUUUCUCCUAAAGUGAGCGUCCUGCCCCCAUCCAGUGAAGAGAUUUCCACAAAGAACACAGCAACACUGAUGUGUGUGGCCAACAAGGGCUUUCCCUCAGACUGGAGCCUGAGCUGGAAGGUGGAUGGGAAGAGCAGGUCUCAGGAGAGCAGUGCUGGGGUCCUGGAGAAGGACGGUCUGUACAGCUGGAGCAGCAGCCUGACUCUCUCUACGCAGGAGUGGAUCAAGGGAGUCUCAGUGAGCUGUGAGGCCAGCAGGAGAGACCAGCAGCCGCCAGUCACUGGAGAAGUGAGGAGAGAUCAGUGUUCAGAGUAGAUCCACUCACUUCUGUUCUGCCCUUCUUACUGAUGUCUCACAUGGAGACUAACAGCACAUGAGGGACUCCAUUCAUUCUCUCUCUCAUCUGUCAAUCAACAUAACACACCAGUGCAUGUGUGCUUUUCCAAUCACUUUGUCUUUUAUCAAAAUUCAGUCAUGAAAUAAAGUCAUAUUGUUCCUUUA